rnacentral:tRNA from 1 species
UCCCUGGUGGUCUAGUGGUGAAGACGCCACACUUCCACUGCAGGGAGCACAAGUUCGAUCCCUUGUCAGGGAA